GGUUGGUCCGAGGGCAGUGAUGUUUACAACUAAUUGAUCACAACCAGUUACAGAUUCCUUUAUUCCUUGACCACUCACACUGCUUCGCUUGACCAGAAAA
rnacentral:Y_RNA from 1 species